CCCUUAGAUGUUCUGGGCCGCACGCGCGCUACACUGAUUCAUGCAACAAGUUUUGUCCUUGGCUGAUAGGCCUGGGUAAUCUUUGAACGUGAAUCGUGAUGGGGAUAGAUGAUUGCAAUUAUUCAUCUUCAACGAGGAAUUCCUAGUAAACGCAAGUCAUCAGCUUGCAUUGAUUACGUCCCUGCCCUUUGUACACACCGCCCGUCGCACCUACCGAUUGAAUGGUCCGGUGAAAUCUUCGGAUCUGAGAGAUGUCUGAUUAAUUUCGGACGCCUUUUGGAAAAGUUAUUUAAACCUUACCAUUUAGAGGAAGGUGAAGUCGUAACA
rnacentral:rRNA from 1 species